rnacentral:ncRNA from 1 species
AGAAAAACGAUCGAUGAGGAAUAGUAAGGGCUGAUGUUUUUUCAGAGAGUCGCCGGGGGGUGUGAGGCGGCAGGACAGACGCUCCCAACUCGCCUCGGAGUUCUUCCGGUGAAGAAAGUAGCCGGGAGCGGUUAGUCCCGUUACAGACGAGAGGGCGUCGGUUCUUAUGGAAGCGGCGAAGAAGAGUGGUACCGCGUGAGCUUUUGCUUUCGUCUCUUGC